rnacentral:rRNA from 1 species
GAUGAACGCUGGCGGCGAGCUUAAUACAUGCAAGUCGAGCGAACGGACGAGAAGCUUGCUUCUCUGAUGUUAGCGGCGGACGGGUGAGUAACAUGUGGAUAACCUACCUAUAACACUGGUAUAACUUCGGGAAACCGGAUCUAAUACCGGAUAAUAUUUUGAACCGUAUGGGUCAAAAGUGAAAGACGGUCUUGCUGUCACUUAUAGAUGGAUCCGCGCUGCAUUAGAUAGUUGGUAAGGUAACGGCUUACCAAGGCAACGAUGCAUAGCCGACGUGAGAGGUUGAUCGGCCACACGAGAAGUGGGACGCGGUCAAGACUACUGCGGUAGGCAGCAGUGUGGAAUAUUACGCAAUAGGCGAGAGCCUGACGGAGCAAGGUGGCGUAGGUGAUGGAGGUCUUGGGAUCGUAAAACUCUGUUAUUAGGGGAGAACAUAUGUGUAAGUAAAUGUGCACAGAUUGACGGUAACUAAUCAGAAAGCCACGGCUAACUACGUG